AUUGAACGCUGGCGGCAGGCCUAACACAUGCAAGUCGAACGAGUGGCGGACGGGUGAGUAAUGUCUGGGAAACUGCCCGAUGGAGGGGGAUAACUACUGGAAACGGUAGCUAAUACCGCAUACCAUCGGAUGUGCCCAGAUGGGAGUAGCUAGUAGGUGGGGUAAUGGCUCACCUAGGCGACGAUCCCUAGCUGGUCUGAGAGGAUGACCAGCCAACCUGGAAGUGAGACAAGGUCCGUACUCCUACGUGAGGCAGCAGUGGGGAAUAUUGCACAAUGGGCUCAAGCCUGAUGCAGCCAUGCCGCGUGUAUGAAGAAGGCCGUCGGGUUGUAAAGUACUUUCAGCGGGGAGGCGUUACCCGCAGAAGAAGCACCGGCUAACUCCGUGCCAGCCGCCGCGGUAAUAC
rnacentral:rRNA from 1 species